rnacentral:pre_miRNA from 1 species
UGUGUAUUCCCUCCGUUCCAAAAUACUUGACUUCCAUUUGUCCAAAAAUGGAUGUACCUAUAUACUAAGACAUGUCUAGAUACAUAUAUAUUUUGACAAAUAGAAGGCAUGUAUUGUGCAACAGAGGGAGUAGAAU